UACGUAGGGGGCGAGCGUUGUCCGGAAUCAUUGGGCGUAAAGAGCGUGUAGGCGGCCCGAUAAGUCCGCUGUGAAAGUCCAGGGCUCAACCCUGGAAUGCCGGUGGAUACUGUCGGGCUCGAAUCCGGAAGAGGUGAGUGGAAUUCCUGGUGUAGCGGUGAAAUGCGCAGAUAUCAGGAGGAACACCGAUGGCGAAGGCAGGUCUCUGGGCCACUACUGACGCUGAGAAGCGAAAGCAUGGGGAGCGAACAGG
rnacentral:rRNA from 1 species